UUUAAAUUGUAUUAUUUCUUAAUGGGAGUGAUCCACACAGAUGUAUAUUUACACAGGAAUGAACAGGCUGUGCGCUUCUACGAGUGUAAAUAUGCCGGAGCAUUGUAGUCUCCAGGAGAUUAGAAGGAAAAUCUAUUAAAAAUAACAUCUGAGGCUAACGCACCUCCUGCACCGUGUAACACCGUCGAAUCUUCAACCCACAUUUAUCGAUUUUAAAGAUGGGAUUGACAAGGCGAGGACAACAGACCCAUACCGCCUUCAGCAUUUCCCAAGAUCCUACUUUAUUACAACACGGCUUGUGUUUUGGUUGGAAUAAAAAAGACGCUUGGGCAAUGUCAUAAUACCGUACUUUCUUUUUCUCCUGUUCACAAAGGCAGCACGCGCUUUAGUGCUGGUACAUUCAAAUAAAGGGCAAAGGAUAUUUUUCUCAAACUGGCAACAGUAAAUGUAUUUUUCCUUUACUUUUAAGUUAUUGUAAGCUGCCACAAAACACUCUGCCUGAUAAAUUUCAUUGAAAGAUGUGACUUGAAAUAUAAACAGUCUCUGUGACAGCCCUAGACCAUGAAAAUUGCAAAUAAACAUAUCAGAACAUUAA